rnacentral:rRNA from 1 species
GUGCCAGCAGCCGCGGUAAGACGAACCGAGCGAACGUUGUUCGGAAUCACUGGGCUUAAAGGGCGCGUAGGCGGGCCGCCGCGUCCGGGGUGAAAUCCUCCCGCUCAACGGGAGAACGGCCUCGGAUACGGGCGGUCUGGAGGGGGGUAGGGGCGUGCGGAACUGUGGGUGGAGCGGUGAAAUGCGUUGAUAUCCACAGGAACUCCGGUGGCGAAGGCGGCACGCUGGACCCCACCUGACGCUGAGGCGCGAAAGCCAGGGGAGCGAACGGGAUUAGAUACCCCCGUAGUCC